rnacentral:tRNA from 1 species
GGGGCGGUGGUCUAGCUGGUUAUGUCGCUCUGCCUUGUAGGCAGAGAGGUCGGUGGUUCAAAUCCAUCCCGCUCCA